rnacentral:rRNA from 1 species
UACGAAGGAUUCGAGCGUUAUCCGGAUUUAUUGGGUUUAAAGGGUGCGUAGGUGGAUCAAUAAGUCAGUGGUGAAAGCCCAGAGCUCAACUCUGGAACUGCCAUUGAUACUGUUGAUCUUGAGUACAGUUGAGGUGGGCGGAAUGUGUCAUGUAGCGGUGAAAUGCUUAGAUAUGACACAGAACACCGAUUGCGAAGGCAGCUCACUAAGCUGUAACUGACACUGAGGCACGAAAGCGUGGGGGAGCAAACAGG